rnacentral:rRNA from 1 species
UACAGAGGUCUCAAGCGUUGUUCGGAUUCAUUGGGCGUAAAGAGCGCGUAGGCGGUCCGGUAAGUCGGUUGUGAAAACUGGGGGCUCAACCCUCAGAGGCCGACCGAUACUGUCGGGCUAGAGUCCGGAAGAGGCGAGUGGAAUUCCGUGGUGUAGCGGUGAAAUGGCGCAGAUAUCAGGAGGAACACCAAUGGCGAAGGCAGCUCGCUGGGACGGUACUGACGCUGAGGCGCGAAAGCGUGGGGAGCGAACAGG